GGCUCAGAGGCACUCUGCAGUCACACAGCUGGAGGGGUGCAGUGAGACGCGGAGGCUCCAAGUCUCUUCUGGACUAGGCCUGGAUCUGCCACCUCUUCUUUCGGCUGUGGAUGGCCCUGGGAGACACGCCUGGCCUCAGAUGCCCCUUGACCCAACUGGAGGAAGGGUGGGGGGCCCAGCAGAAAAGCCUGCAGCCUCCCUGGGCACCGUUUCAAAGCUGAUGCUGCUCUCCCUGCUCUGGGUCUCAGCUCCUCCCCUCUUCUGCAUUGUUGACCAACAGCCUGGGUCUGACGCGGAAGCAGAAGAAUUCCCAUUCAACUGGGCCCCAGGGAUGGGGGGCCUCUCUGCCAAAAGCAACAGGCUGCCCAACAGACCUCUCAUUGAUUGGAAGAGAAAUGAGCCCAGAGCCUCCUAACAACAGCCUUGGAGUGGACAGGAUGAUGAACAGUGAUGCCAAAGACUCAGGAUCUGAAGGCAGACAGGCCUGGUCCACCACCUGUGUCUGCCAUUUGCAGGAUGAGUGACCUUGAGUAGGUCACCUCACACCUCUGAACCUGAAUUCUACAUCUGCAAAACAGGAAUGAUGACCCUGACUGACAGCCUCCCUGUGAGGAGUAAGCCAUACAGCAUCCCUCCCUCCUUCACGUGACAAACUUUUCCUGAGUCCUGACCUCGGGGGCAGGAGCUGGAGAUACUACACUGGAUUAGAAAGAUGAGUUUCCAGUCAAGUGUGGGAGAGAGAAGUAGCCAGGAUGUAGAACCUGACAAGGGAAGAGUUCAGGAACUUGCCCAGUUGAGCAGCCAGUGAACGGGACAGCCCUGAGCACGGUGCACGUUCUGGGGUGGCUCGUGAGUGACAGCAGUACUGGUAUGCUGGUGAGUGCCUCAGCAGGAGCUCCCUCUGUCCCCCUACCAACUCCCCGAUGUCUGGACGGCACCAGAGCCCGCCUGGGAGGCCACGAGCUAACACUCUCAAGAGGGAAAACAGGGGGAUCAAACCAAUGACCCAAGGGCCUACAGCUAAGAACUGCUGGAGCCAGGCUCUGAACUGAGCUCUGCCUGACUCCAGAGGUGGUUUCUACCACCAGGCAAUACAACAGGGAGACACGCAGGUGUGUCAGAGAGCAGUCCUCACAGUGCGAGCACAGAAACCAGAGGCCAAGGCUGAAGAUUUUCCUGGACUCGCGGUGCUGCCCAGGAAUCUUCUGAGAAAACCUGUCAGUUGGUAAAGCCACGUGGAGGCGGGGCUAACAAAAUCUGGAAAUGUCUUCACCAGUUCCAAACCUAUUUGUUGGUGUGGAACUGCCUGUGAAGUCAUUCUGCAGGGGUGGAAAGUGGGGGCCAGCUCUCUGUGGGCAACAGGGACCAUCCCAGAGACAAAGGGCAGCCUCAGCCCACAGACCACUUCGGACUUGAAUCAAGGCCUCAAAGGGCGAGACCUGGGCCACUGUCAAUGUGAGGGCAGGUAGGCUGGGUAGAGGGGUAGAGGCGUGGGCGCUGCCUAGAAGAGGGCCAGAGAGACCGCCCGGCACAUUGGUCUUGCUCCCACUGCCUCCUUUCAGCUCCUCAGUGUACCCAUCCUUGCCCCUGGCAGCUUUUGCUGCCUGGUUCCCCGACUAAAAUGUGAGCUUUGUGGGGAAGGUUCUUGCCUUGCUGGGCACCUGGCUCACAGCAAGUCCUUGGCCUGGAAGUCUUGGGUGAAUGAAUGAAUGAACAUGUCUUAGGGCCUCUCCUUUGCAGGUGUGGGGGAUGUGCCUACUGGAAAGGGCACCGAGCUGAAGCCUAAACCCCCUCCUGAGGAGCCAGGGAAGCCUGCGUUCCUCCCAUUCCCGGGACUGCAAGAGGCACAUUCCUGUCCCUGAGUCUGGUCAGGCUCCUGCCACGCAGCUCAGUCUGGCUGCCAGGUCCAGAAAGGCCUCCCUGGAGCUGCCCCUCUGGCCCCACCCUUCCCAGGACCCCAGGCCACCCCACAGCUGCAGCAGCACCCACUCUCUGUCUUCUGAGGCUGCUAGUGGGAAGCUGGGACCCCCGAGUGUGUCUGAAACCUUCCAGGCACUCCUCGACCCUCUAGUGAUCAAUGAAAACCUUCACAUCCUGCUUCCAGGGCUGAAGCCAGGGAUUUGGAAAAUUGGUGGAAAACACUCCUAUGAGCUGGGGCUUGCUCUGCUGUGGAAAACUGCCAGCAUCAGCACUUCUCCCAAGGCUGUGCCGAGUCAGCAGUCAGCCCACUCUGGAGCUGCCUCUGAGGACCAGGUGCCUACAGGACCCUGUAAGGAGCUUGAAGAGUUGUGGCUGACGGAGGGAUUUCUGUCCUGGGCUCUAGGAAUUCUAGACUGGGCCCUUCCUCAAGGAGCUUUCAGUCUGGCGGAGCAGACAGACAUGGGCAAAUAAGCCCACAACUAACUGUGCCAUCACUGCAGAAGGAAGUGCCACGGAGGAGCAUGAGGGCCAGUUGCAGGAAGGAGCCAGGGCCAGCAUGUGCCUGUAAAAGCCAGAUAGUAAAUAGUUCACGCUCUGCAGGCCACAGGGUCUUUGUCCCAAGCACUCAACUCUGCCACUGCUGCAUGAAAACAGCCACAGGCGAUAUGUCAACCAAAGAGGGGUGGUUGUGCCCAUAUGAAAACAGAGGGUGGAUCUGUCCCACAGUUUGCCACAGCCUGGCUGUUAGACGGCCUGACCUGAUUGGGGGUGGGGGUGAUAGUGGGGAGAAGGCUUCCCCGAGGCAGUGAUAUUUAGCUAAAAGCUGCAGGCUGAGGCAAUGAUGGAGGCAGAAUCACAAUAUGACAAUUAUGAUAAUCACAUCACCAUGAUCAAGUUCCACCUAACACGUGUGUUCUAUGUUGCGCACUGUGCUAAUAACAACACUACCCUGUGAAGGAGGAAGAUUUUAUGCCCACUUUACAGAUAGAGACACUGAGGCUUGGCAGUAUGCUGAGUAGUCUGUUCACACAAUUCAGCUGCAUUUUUUGC
rnacentral:lncRNA from 10 species